ensembl:lncRNA
AUUACAUGGAAAAAUAUGAUUUGCUAACACUUACAAUUAAAUUUCAUUGGUCUGCUACCCAGUGCCAAAAGGGAGGAGGCGUGUUUUCAUUUCAAUAGUGUGGCACAAGCGAUAGCAAACCAAUUCAUCCUUCGCUGAGGAGCACCAACUAAAAAAUUUGAUCUGAUCAGAGAGAGUGGCUAACAUUAUGUUGACAUGAAAACAUCUAAAUUUCAAUGCAGAAUUCAGAAGCCCUGAAUUUGCACAUAAUCUUGCUCCUUAAAAAUUUUUAACAUUUGUAUGGAAGUAUUUUUGAGCCAGAUCUCACCUCAUACUCGCAUUCAGAAGCUGGUUAUCUGUUACAGCAACAGGACCAAAUUAAAAUCACAAUUGUAAAACUUCCUUUCCUUUGUUUGGAGCAUUACUGUAUUUACACACAGCCACAGUCGAAUGAAGCCACACAACACCAUUUGAUCUUUUAAAUUUACUUGAAAAUAUGAUCAAAGGGGGGUGUAAAAAUACUAAACAUCAGACCAAAAUACAAGAAGUCUUUAUGUGCCACAGAGAUCUGAAUGUGUGAACAACACCAUAAAAUAACAAUUGCCAAACAGACAACACUGAAACAGGUGAACACAUUUCUGCCCACAGAUCUGACUGUAAUGAGAGCAAAUGCAACUAAAGCCAUGGACAUUGGUCCAUUGGAGUUCAGGACGGUAUGGGUGAUAAAAACACCAAUUAAUCUAGAAAAUGUGCCCAGCAGAACUGGGGUCUCUAAUGCUCAUGACACAGCAGACUGUGAAGGCUCGACUGCAAGAGCAGCAUUCAGAUGUUACACACUCAGACUGCACUGAAGCAGUGGCAGUGAUACAGAUCUGACCAACGGAACUCUGUUUCAUGUGACAUCUGGAAUUUAAAUUACAAUACAUGAGGGUUGACCACUACAAUUCUUUGGAGAACAGAUACCAGGAAGGUGCCUGGUCCCAUCUGCAUCAAACCAGGACAACAGAAUUGUUAGAACAUAACCUGAAAUGUGGGAGAUGGAUGCGAAGACACUUGAAGGGGCCAUUCACACCUCACAGCAGAACAUCACUACACACAUAUCCACAUGGCCUCCCGGAUUAGAACCGGAACUAAAUUUUUGCAACACAGAUUGCUAUAGAUUAGACUCCAUCCAUCUCCCAGACAUGAGUACAGAACACACACCUCCACCAUUGCAUCACCUUAUUUAGACUAUCCAGUCUGUACACUACAAACAGAAGACAAUGAUGGCUUGGAUUACAAAUGUGGUACUCCACUAAAGAUCUAUUGACCAUCUUCACACUGACAGAACCACAUAGCCUCACACACACAGGACAACAGAAUUAAUUACAUUCCAAAAGAUACAACAUAUCUACUAUCUGCAACCAUCUGAAAACUCAUGGAACAACACUCUAACACACAUUUACACGACUAGUCACAGAUCGAUGGCGCAAAUUUUUGAACACAGAGGCAGACGAGCCUUUGAAAUUUAAAAUAUUGAAUCUUUCUGAUUGUUAUUAGGGUGGUUGACAAGCCAGAGGGCCCCUGGUUUCCCAAUACAUCACUAAUAACAAAAAACAUUAUCAAAAUUAUUAAAUGUGAAAUGCCUGCACUUCAUUUCUAUCAAUCAAUCAUAAAAAUAUACAAUUUUACCAAACCAUCAACUGUGACUUAGCCUGCAUAUCACACACACAUGCAUAUCACACACACACACACACACACACACACACACACACACACACACACACACACACACACACACACA